GAGGGUCUAGCUCAGUGGUAGAGCACGUGCUUGGCAUGCACAAGGUCCUGGGUUCAAUCCCCAGUACUUCCU
rnacentral:tRNA from 1 species